UUUACAAGAUCGCGAAAUCAUUUAACUUCCGGUUGUUAAAAAUGGUGAGCGAAAGAGCUUAGAGGAAGUUUGACACAUUUCCUCCGCAUUUCCGCAAUGGUUUCUCAAAUCGAACGGGAGUUUGAAGAAUUCGAGUCACAGCAACAGUGGCAACAGGUGUAUCAGAAAAUAAAAAAUGAAUCCAUGCUGGUAUCCAUCUCUGAAAAGCACAGUGUUGGAGAGGCUCGAAAGCCAGAAAAUAGAUUGAAAAACCGCUACAGGGAUGUCAGCCCUUAUGACCACAGCAGGGUGAUUCUGCAGGAAGGGGAUUCUGACUACAUCAAUGCCAGCAUCAUACAAGUUCCUGAGUCCAACCGGACCUACAUUCUGUCUCAGGGCCCCUUGGAGCACACAGCAGGCCAGUUUUGGCAGAUGAUCUGGGAACAAAAUUCAAAAGCUAUCGUCAUGUUGAACAGGGUGAUAGAGAAGGGCGCUGUGAAGUGCCACCAGUACUGGCCCCUAGCGGACGAUGAGGAGGAAGAGGAGAUGGUGUUUGAAGACCAUGGUCUCAAGAUCACCCUUCAUGAGGAACAGGAGAUGAGCGACUACACCAUCAGGACAUUUGAUCUCGAGAAUUUAAAGACUGAAGAAGUGAGAGAGGUGUAUCACUUCCACUACAUGACGUGGCCAGAUUUUGGCAUCCCGUCCUCCCCAAUCUCGUUCCUCGAGUUUCUCCAAGAAGUGAGGGAUCGGGGAGUGCUCUCCCCUGACGUGGGUCCAGCAGUGGUUCACUGCAGCGCGGGCAUCGGACGCAGUGGCACGUUCUGUCUUGUGGACUCAGCUCUGAUUCUUGUGGAGAAGACCGGGACCAUGCACGGCAUAGACAUCCAGUCCCUAUUGCUGUCCAUGCGCUCGUAUCGCAUGGGCCUCAUCCAGACACACGACCAGCUCAAGUUCUCCUACAUGGCCAUCAUAGCGGGCGGCCGGCAGAUCAUGCAGGCUCGGGCAGCCAGUGGAAAACACAUCGGUAGUGUUCACAGGGAAUAUAAUGAUGAUCAGCUUGAUGACGAAGUCCCUGUCCCACCAGAGAGGAAGGAGAGUCUCCUAUCUCGAGGACAAAAACCUCCGCCCCCACCGGUGCGUAGUUUCAAAGUUGAUGAUUCACCUGAGCCUCCAAACAAGCAACAGAAACUCGAUGACUCAACAGGUAUUCCCGAGAAACCCCCUAGAGCUCAUGUCUUCUUGAAAGAUGAAAACACGUCGGAAUAUUUGACGCCUUAUGAGGGUGACACUGCACCAGAGAGUUACGUCAACUGUAACACUAUACACACAAAUAGGGGAGUAAUUGUCGCUAACAAUACAAACCAUGAGGACAGAGACUCUGAUAUCAAGGCAGCAGGGCAUGCCGAGGAAAAUGUGGCAAACAAUUUGAAUGAAAAUCAGAAUGUAGGAGAAGAAACUCAGACAGAGCAGUCGGAACAUAAUGAACAUUCUGUCUCUGACCAGAGUCACACAGAAUUAAGGCAGCGUCGGAAAGAAGAAAGGGAAAAGAGAAAGGAAAAAACAAAGGAAGUUAUUAAGAAAAUGAAAGAGAAACAACAACAAAAUGAGAUAUGGAAAAAGAGAAAAUCUUAUUUCAAACCUAUUGCAAUCGGUUUGACUCUAUUGUUAGGUUCCUUUAUACUUUACAGAUUUUUCUGGUAGCUAUUUUUUACUUGUUUGGUUUGAUUUCUUUCUUUUGUAUGCAUUUAACAUGCAUUUAACAUUUUGCCUUUGUAUGUACACAUAAGUAAAGCUUUAUUUGUAAACAGUAGAUGUUCGAUGUUGAAUAAUGUGCAUAUUAAAAAAGGGCUGUACCUUCCCUUAAUUCUGUAGAAACCGUAAUUGUGUACAUUGUUAUUAUUCUUGAUUAUUGCAACAGUUCUGUUAUUUCACUGGAAUAGCUGGACAACGUGGAACUGACGCUCGUGAACUCAAUAAGCAUAAUUAUACGCUUGAAUUGUUUUCUUUUUUAUGCCCCCGAAGGAGGGCAUAUAGUGAUCCGUCUGUCCGUCCGUCCGUCUGUCCGUCACACUUUGCAUUUAGGUUUAGAAAAUUGCUCAUAACUUCUAUGUUGCUUCAGAUGUAACAUUCAUAUUUGGUAUGCAUGUGUAUAUUAACAAGGCCUUUCCAUAAGCACACAAAUUUUGACCCCCUUGACCUUGAACUUAGGGUCCGUGUUUAGGUUUCGAAAAAUGCGUUUAGGUUUCGAAAAAUGCUCAUAGUUUCUUUCAAAGCGUUUAUUGGGGGCAUAUGUCAUCCUAUAGAGACAGCUCUUGUUUAUUAUGCUCCCGAAGAGUGGAAUAUAGUUUUUGAACUGUCCGUCAGUCCAUCUGUCUGUCCGUCAGUCCGUCCGUCCAAAAAAAUUAAGAUUGCCAAUAACUUUUGCAAUCUUGAAGACACCUUGAUAUUUGGCAUGCAUGAGUAUCUCAUGGAGCUGCACAUUUUGAGUGGUGAAAGGUCAAGGUCAUCCUUCAAGGUCAAAGAUUAAAUAUAUGAUAUAUGGCUUGCUUCAAAGCGGCGCAGUCUGGGGCAUUGUGUUUCUAGCAAACACAUCACUUGUUUGUGCAAGUUUUGCAUGAGUUAAACAAGGCCACAACUAUAUAUUUUGAUGUAUUGAAAUCAAGUCCAAUAUGGAAACAAAUAUAUUCAUCGCAAUUGUAUUUGAAUAUAUGUAUGCAUAAAGGCCAGUGUCUGGUUAAUAUUGGCAAGCUGAAGUGUCAUAAAGGCCAGUGUCUGGUUAAUAUUGGCAAGCUGAAGUGUCAUAAAGGCCAGUGUCUGGUUAAUAUUGGCAAGCUGAAGUGGCAUAAAGGCCAGUGUCUGGUUAAUAUUGGCAAGCUGAAGUGGCAUAAAGGCCAGUGUCUGGUUAAUAUUGGCAAGCUGAAGUGGCAUAAAGGCCAGUGUCUGGUUAAUAUUGGCAAGCUGAAGUGGCAUAAAGGCCAGUGUCUGGUUAAUAUUGGCAAGCUGAAGUGGCAUAAAGGCCAGUGUCUGGUUAAUAUUGGCAAGCUGAAGUGGCAUAAAGGCCAGUGUCUGGUUAAUAUUGGCAAGCUGAAGUGGCAUAAAGGCCAGUGUCUGGUUAAUAUUGGCAAGCUGAAGUGGCAUAAAGGCCAGUGUCUGGUUAAUAUUGGCAAGCUGAAGUGGCAUAAAGGCCAGUGUCUGGUUAAUAUUGGCCAGCUGAAGUGUCAUAAAGGCCAGUGUCUAGUUAAUUUUGGCAAGUGGAAGUGUCAUAAAGGCCAGUGUCUGGUUAAUUUUGGCAAGUGGAAGUGGCAUAAAGGCCAUUGUCUUGUUAAUAUAGGCAAGCUGAAGUUACAUAAAGGCCAGUGUCUGGUUAAUAUUGGCAAGCUGAAGUGGCAUAAAGGCCAGUGUCUGGUUAAUAUUGGCAAGCUGAAGUGGCAAAGGUCAGUGUCUGGUUAAAAUUUAUGAGAAGUUGAAAAGGUGUACUAGCAAUUACAAUUACAGUAACAUCAUGAUUUAUUUUCAAUCACCGUUAAAACAGGUCUGAAGUCUAAACAUGAGAAGCUUUUAUAGUUAUUUUAAUUGUACUCAUUUUGGUAGGAUGCUCGAAAUAACUUUUUGAUCUUAACAUAAAUUUUAACCAGCGUAUAUCAUAAACACAGAUAUGUUCUCGUAGAAUAGAUUCAGAAACUUAACAUCUGUUCUUUAUAUUUUAAAUCAUUUAGAUAUUUAGAUUAUUUAUAUAGAAAGUUAAUUAUUAUUCUUUUGGAGCCUAUGAUAACAACCAUAGCAACAUAACAUUGUUUCAAAAACAUAUUUGCUACAUUGAAUUACCUGUGUUUGCCUUUGUCAUUAUUUUUUGUUCAAUUGUGGGUGUGUUUUCAUCAUUAAAGCUUAUUAAAGCCAACUAGAGUUUUUGAACGGGUAUCAUAAAAUAAUCACACAAAUUUGUUUGUCAUUUUUAUGCAAUGUCAAUUAGCAAAAUCAUCCAAAAAAAUUGUAGAAUAAUAGAGCAUUUGUUACUCUUUCCUUUGGACAUUUGGAAAUACUCUUGCCAGUUUCAUCCCUUUAAUAGCCAUGAAAUUAUAAUUAUUUGUAAGAACAGCAUGCGGGCUACAUUGUAGCUCAGUUGGUAGAUCUCUGGAUGGCCUUUCAGAGAAACUAAGGUUUGAUUCACUGCCUGGCCAUAUGGUGUGUGAAUUUGUGAUGAAAUUAUCUGCCUACAAAUUAUUUAAGUUGGACAGUUCUCAUGAAAUAGACAUAGAAACAUACAAUGGAACUGUUAAAUCAAUUUAACCAUGUGUAAAGUAACUGACCACUGCGAUAUAACUGAAAUACUGUUGAAAAUAAUGUGUUUUUUUUAAUUAACAAAAGAAAACAUUUGUAAGAAAAAAUGGCCAAAAUUAUUUCCAAGCCCUUGUGAAGGAAACACCUUUUCUGUCUUUUUAUAUUGUAUUAUCUGUUACCAUUAGUGUUUAUCUUUUGAAAUUACAGUAAAAACAUUUCAUGAAAAAAUAUGAAAAUUUGUGGACUAGUCCCCUUAAGUUAUGAACAGAUUUGAGACCAAAAUAAAUUAAAUGUUGUUUUUGUGUUUAGUCUGUGACUCAUUUCAUCACACAUUAGAGCCUCGAUCUGUGAAAAGGGGUUUAAUGCAUGUGCGUAAAGUGUCGUCCAUGAUAAGCCUGUGCAGUCCCCACAGGCUAAUUGGGGGCGACACUUUCCGCUUUUAUGGUAUUUUCUGUUGAAAGGAAGACACUUUUUAGCGAAAAUCCUGAUUAGGUGGAAGUGUCAUCCCUGAUUAGCCUGUGUGGACUGCACAGGCUAAUCUGGGAUGAUACGCAAUUCACAUGCAUUAAACCCCUUUACAUAUAGCAUGGCUUAUAUAAUAUGACCUUAAAGGGAGCUUUUUACAGACUUUAGCAUGUAUUAAAUGCUUUUAAUUGAUAAAUGUAAACAUUGGAACUAAAUAGCUCCAUUUAGAAACAAGAAUAACACAAAAGAAAGAAAAAAGUAAUCCUCAACUGGGCUCUAACCACUGACCUUUGGAGUAAAAGUCUUGCUCUGUAACCACUUGGCCAUCCGUUCUCACACAGGGUAUAGCGUAUUUGUAUACAUUAUAUAAGCAAUUCUCCUUUAAAUAUGUCACAAAAUAUAACAAUAACAACAGAACUCUCUAAAUGAUUCAAUCGUUUCGUGUUUGUAACACUCUAUAAUUUUUUGGUUUUUAAAUCUUCAAAAGAUGCAUGUAAUGGAUAUUUUAGAGCAUGGUACAUGUAUAUGUUCAGUAUUACUGUUUCAUAGCAAAUAGCAUAACUACACCGAAAGUUUGCAAAUGUGAAACAAUUUUUUUCAAUUUUGUCAAUUACCAAAACCUGAAAAGGUCUCUUUAAACUGCACAUACUCAAAUACUUCAGUAGCUGACUUGUUCCUUAGUUUAAUAGCUUUGUAGGUUCUGCAAACUUUAAAACUUGCCAGUUUGUAUAUUUACUACUUGAUUAGCCUUGUAAAGUAUAUUAAGUAUGUAUGUUUUCAUGGAGAGAUUUCUAUCAUGUUGCAUACAUGUACUAUGUUAAUUGUUACAUAUGUUAUAGUUUGAUAACUUUUAUAAUUCUAUCAACAAUUUGUUUGCCAUUUAUAAACUCUUUAUAUUCACAUAAAAGUAUGUUCAUGCGUAUGUACAGCUUAUAUGUCACGAUGUACUCAAAUUUAAUUACCCAUCAAGUUAUUACCUAAGACAUAAGUGGCAUUUUUAUGAACAAGUUAUUUGUUUGGAAUUGUAUAAAUAUUGUCACUGUUACACAUGGCCAAAUAAUUUGAGGUAGUAAAAUCAGUGUGAAUAAACUGAGCUCAAAAUACUGUUUCACGCAAGAACACUAUUGUUAAAUAUUGACCAACAUGGUUAUUAUAAGAUGUGUUUUCAUUGGUUUGUUAACUACGGUGAAUAUCCCCUUUAUGGGGUCAUUGAUUUUGUAUAAUGAGAACUUUGAAUAUUUUUUUAUUUAUUUAUUUUGAGGGCAGAACAUGUUAUACACAUAAGUUUACUUUACCUCGUACUGUAGGAAGACAGUUACACAAAAAGUCAUGAUGUCAAGUUGUAUAUGUAACACAGUUUGUUUUUUUGCUUUCUGUAUAUUUAUUUUAUCCCUUACGGAUUCACACAUCAUAGUACAGAAAUAACGCAAUACCCAAGAAAGCAUAUCUGUGCAAAUAACUUCUUUCUUUUAAAGGAAAAGAGUUAGCUCCAAAAAGGCAAUUUAUUUUGACAGUUAUUAUGAAUACUAGUACUCAAGUGUUUUAGUAUGAUUAUGUACUAAGAACAAUGUUCAAGGGACUUUUUAUCACAUAUGAUGAAUUAGCUUAAAAAACUCAAAUAUUUGGAAAAGUUUAAAAUAAUUAAACAUGUCUUUGCUGAACUAUCGAUGAACAGUGUUACAAACGCUUUUUCAUUUUUAGCUUAGAUGUUUUCGGAGAAAACCCGUGGUAUUGUCAUAGGAAGCUAGUCCACCGUCAGCUUUGUGCUUUAACCUUAAAAUUGGCUCUAAAAUCAAAGUGCUUCCACCUAACUUCAUAUGUAGCUGCACCUUGAUGACUUCUACAAGCCACACCCAUUUUUGGGUCACUAGGUCAAAGGUCAAGGUCAAUGUGACCUCUAAUAUAAAAAGAAAAAAAAUCUUCUGACAAGCUUUCAUAUAUUCAAAACUGCACCCGCAGUCGAGCGUUGGCACUCGCUAUGCGGUGCUCUUGUUCCACUUUCUAUUUAUGAUUUGCAAUGAACUGAUAUUUUAAACAUGUUUCUUAGUUAAGAGAAUUAGUUUGCUUGUUAAGAUAUCAUGCAUUCAAUCUGUUGAAUCGAUGACAAAUUUAAUUGAAAUUGUAAUUUUGCUGCCAAGAAGUCCCUUUAAAAUGUUAGAAAAGCUUUAUGCAUGUAAGAUAAAACAAUUAUUUCUAUAAUGUUUGCUGCCAAUAAUCUUAAUUAUUAAAAAAUGUAAUGUUUCAUACUUCUUAGAGAUAAUUAUACAUAGACUGCUGUGAUUUGAGAUUAUUUUAGCCCACAUAAGCACCAAGUGCUCUUGCGAGCUAUUGUGUUCACUCUAUGUCUGGCGUCAGGUGUGGUGUAUUUUGCUUCGUCAACUUUGAGCCUGUUACCCCUGUAGGGGCCACAUUUUUAGCUCACCUGAGCACUACGUGCUCAUGGUGAGCUUUUGUGAUCGCCUUUUGUCUGUCGUCCGUUGUCAAUUGUGCGUUGUGUGAUGUCAACAUUUGCCUUGUUCACUCUCUAGAGGCCACAUUUAUUGUCCAAUUUUUAACCAGGUGUUCCAAAGGAAUAAACUGGUUAUUAGAUUGGCGAAUGCGGGCGGGCUGGCGGGCGGGCGGAACAAGCUUGUCCGGGCCAUAACUAUGUCGUUCAUUGUCAGAUUUUAAAAUCAAUUGGCACAUUUGUUCACCAUCAUUGGACGGUGUGUCGCGCGAAAUAAUUACGUCGAUAUCUCCAAGGUCAAGGUCACACUUUGAGUUCAAAGGUCAAAAAUGGCCAUAAAUGAGCUUGUCCUGGCCAUAACUAUGUCAUUCAUUGUGAGAUUUUGAAAUCAUUUGGCACAUUUGUUCACCAUCAUGGGACAGUGUGUGGCACGAAAGAAUCACGUCAAUAUCUCCAAUGUCAAGGUCGCCACGAAUAAAAAUAGAUUUUUUUUUAAAACAAACUUACAAAGGGGGUUAAUUUUGUUUGUUCAUUUCAAAAGUUCAGUUUGAGUUUUCUCCCUUUAUCAGAUUUUUUUUUCACAAUGAAAACCUGGUUUUGUGACAAUUUUGUCCCUUGUCAUGAAAUUUGGUCAGAAAAUUGGUUUCAAUGAUAUCUUGGAUGAGUUUGAAAAUGGUUACGUUUGCUUGAAAAACAUGGCUGCCAAGGGGCGGGGCAUUUUUCCUUAUAUGGCUAUAGCAAUAUCUUGUUAACACUCUAGAGGCCACAUUUAUUGUCCGGUCCUCAUGAAACUUGGUCAGAAGAUUCAUCCCAAUGAUAUCUUGGAUGAGUUCAAAAAUGGUAACCUUGGCUUGAAAAACAUGGCUGCCAAGGGGCGGGGCAUUUUUCCUUAUAUGGCUAUAGUAAAAUCUUGUUAACUUUCUAGUUUGCUCAAUCUUCAUGAAAUUUGGUCAGAACAUUGGUUUCCUGUGUAGUAAAGUUUGGUUUUAUUAUGUCAAUAUAAUGUGACAUUAACUGUGUUAUGUAAUUUUUCAUAACACAGACUUUUCAUAGUUAACAUAACUGUUUUAGUCAUUAACACUUAUGAUAAGCCCUUCAACUAAGAGAUAACUGAAAGAAAGACAACAUGUACAUGAUUUUGCAGUAUUUAUGCAGUAUUUAUCUCCCUUGUUUAACCUGGUUCAGUAAUCUAUUUUUAGUUCUGCUCUGGAAUUUGGGAAGAUAUUGAUCAUUGAUAGAUGCACUGUUCUGAGGGAAAAUUGACUACUCUGCCAUUGAUCUCUUCUGAACUGUAUACAAUAAGCUGUUUUUGGCUGAUUUUAACACCUCUUGAUGCUUUCUUGAAAAGUUAACAGCGCUUGAAAAAGGUUGGAAUUUUGAAAUAAUUAAACUCUAAAUUAUUUUUAACACCAGCAUCAAGACAUUUUGGCAUUAUUUUCUAAAUUAUUUGUAUUAUUUAGAUUAUUUUUAUUUGGCAUUUUCUAAAUUAGAAAGACUCUAUUCUAUUUCAAUGACUGUUGUAAAUUUUUCUUAUUUUUACAUUUGAUUCACUGAAGUUUCCUAUGGUAAUCUCCAUAAAUAUUGUUCUUGAGAUUAAUUUAGACCUAUUUUUUAAACUAGAUUUUUGAAGCACUUUCUAGACUAACAGUUACUUAUAUUUAUAUCAGGUUUUUUUUUACAGAUUUUGAACUUCUUUUUACAUUCAUUAAGGUAUUUGCUGUAUGUUGUUCAUUUUUGUAACGAUACUUAGAUUCUUUAGACUUGGCUUCUACCUGUUCUUAAUUUUCUGUCAUUGUUCUUCAUUUUCCGAGUUCUUGGAAUAAAAAUUAGUUAUUUUUGUUGUUAAAGCUGCCAUUGUUUUCACUUAUAAAUAAACUCUUUGAGUGUAUUUAGGCGUUCAUGACUGAACGCCUUUAGUUAAUUGAAUUACAACCAGUCAGUAUAUUCAUCCUGACCGGUAAUAGGAAUUUGUCAAAUAAAUAUUUCCGCAUUACAUAAGUGCUUACAAAGUUACAUAACUUGUAACCGUCCUGUGACCGGUUCAUUUGCAUAAGCGAAGGAGACCGCACUACCACACCUGGAUAGGACAGUUGAGUUCGAUAAUGGUUUGGAUUGGUAAAAAAACAUGGCCGCCAGGGGGGGGCUUUUUCCUUAUAUUUAUAUAGUAAAAAAGCUUGUGAACACUCUAGAAGUCACAUGUUUUGCCUAAUCAUCAUGAAAUUUUGUCAAAACAUUAGUUAUGUGGAUGUCUCGGACGAGUUUGAAAAUGGUCGUGAUCAUUGAAAAAACCUGGCCGCCAGGGAGUGGGGCAGUUUUCUUUAUAUGUAUAUAGUGACAACAUGUGAACAUUCUAGAAGACACAAUUUUUUCCCAACCUUCAUGAAAUUUUGACAUAUCUUGAAAGAGUUAAAAAAAAUGGUUCAGGUCUGUUAAAAAAACAUGACCGCCAAGGGGCCAUUUGUUGAUCAUUCUUCAUGAUACUUGGUUAGAACAUUUGUUCCAUUGAUAUCUUUGGCUGCAAAGAACAGGUCAUUUCUUUUUAUCUCAGGUGAGCGACUUUGGGCCUUUCAGGCCUUCUUGUUUAUCCAAUCUUGAUAAAACUUGCUAAGACUGUUUAUCUUGACAAUAACUAGGCAGAGUUUGAAUCCAGAUCAUUUGUGUCCAAAAAUUAGGUCACUUAGCAAACCUUAGUCAAGCCUUGUUACUGCGCUAGAGGCCAAACUUAUUCGAAAUGUUUAUCUGAGUCAAGUUUGAAUCUGGGUCCAAAAACUGUGUCACCAGGUAGAAUCUUGUUAACUUCUCUAUGGGCCUCAUAAAUGAUACAAUCUUAAUGAAACAUGGUCAGAAUGUAAAGGCCAAGUUUUAAUCAUGGUCACACAUAAUCAAAUACUAGGUCACCAGGUAAAAUCUUGCUAUAGCGGAUGUAAUAUUUGAAUCUGGGUCAAGUAGGUUCAAUUUCUAGACUACGUGGCCAUUUUUCAACUAUUGGUGUACUAUAAACUCAUGUAAGUGCUUAAGGGCCAUCAUGGUCCUUGUGUUAUAAAAAAAAAUUAAUUUAAACUGUUGUUAUCUUAAUCAACAGCUUUAAAAGGCAUUGUUUUGUUGUCACUUUAGAAAAAAAUUAUGGCAAAUGUUUGUAAUGAUAUGCUUUACUUUGCACUUAAAAGGCAUGAAAAAAAUUAUCAACAAAGUAAGUUUUUAAUAGUUGUUUUUGUGUAGAAUACAGUAAAUGACUUUGAGUCCUGCACAUUAUACACAUGCAAAAUAUUUUAAUGGAGUUGUUUUUAGCUUGUGAAUGGCCUGUAUUAAUCCGUCUAUACCUUGAGUAGACAAUGUGUCCGUAUGUUGGCAACACAUGUAGUUUGUUGUUUCAUAUUUUAUUUUAGAUAUAAAAAUAAUGUUUGCAUGACUCAUAAUAAAAUGAUUAUAGAAAACAUG